rnacentral:rRNA from 1 species
GCCCUUAGAGUUUGAUCAUGGCUCAGAACGAACGCUGGCGGCGCGUUUUAAGCAUGCAAGUCGAGCGGCAAGCACUCUUCGGAGUGCCUAGAGCGGCGAACGGGUGAGUAACACGUAGGUGAUCUGUCCUUCGGGUUGGGGAUAGCCUGUGGAAACAUGGGGUAAUACCGAAUAGGUCCCGCACACUGUGGUGAGCGGGGCAAAGGCCCUUCGGGGCCGCCUGAGGAUGAGCCUGCGGCUCAUUAGCUGGUUGGUAGGGUAAGAGCCUACCAAGGCGACGAUGAGUAGCCGGCCUGAGAGGGUGAUCGGCCACACUGGGACUGAGAUACGGCCCAGACUCCUACGGGAGGCAGCAGCUAAGAAUCUUCCGCAAUGGGCGAAAGCCUGACGGAGCGACGCCGCGUGGGUGAAGAAGGCCUAACGGUUGUAAAGCCCUUUUCUGCGUGAGGAAUAAGUCUGGGAGGCAAUGCCCGGACGAUGACGGUAGCGCAGGAAUAAGCCCCGGCCAAUUACGUGCCA